GGUCUCGUAGCUCAGUUGGUUAGAGCAUCUCACUUUUAAUGAGAGGGUCGUGCGUUCGAGUCGCACCGAGAUCACCA
rnacentral:tRNA from 4 species